rnacentral:lncRNA from 1 species
CCGUCUUCGUUGAGGUCACUGACCUCAAGUGUUGCCGUAUUGAAGCAAGCCACAAGGUUCCUCAAUGUCUCUGUCUCACAUUGCUUGAUUGAGAAGAGACUAUCGGAUAUUCGUGGUGGCCUUCGGCUAGUGCUGAAGUGGACCACAAAAGAAUGUUCAAGCUAUUCGAAAGAGUUAAUGCUUUCCGAUUGAAGUCCGAAAUAUCAGGCUCGAGC